rnacentral:rRNA from 1 species
GACGAACGCUGGCGGCGUGCUUAACACAUGCAAGUCGAACGGAAAGGCCCCUUUGGGGGUACUCGAGUGGCGAACGGGGGAGUAACACGUGAGUAACCUGCCCUUGACUUCGGGGUAAAUUCAGGAAACUGGGGCUAAUACCGGAUAGGAAUCCUUGCUGCAUGGUGGGGGUUGGAAAGCUUCGGCGGUUUUGGAUGGACUCGCGGCGUAUCAGCUUGUUGGUGGGGUAGUGGCUUACCAAGGCUUUGACGGGUAGCCGGCCUGAGAGGGCGACCGGCCACAUUGGGACUUAGAUACGGCCCAGACUCCUACGGGAGGCAGCAGUGGGGAAGAUUGAACAAUGGGCGGAAGCCUGAUGCAGCAACGCCGCGUGCUGGAUGACGGUCUUCGGGUUGUAAACCGCUUUCAGCAGGGGCGAAGCUUGUGGUGACGGUACCUGCAGAAGAAGCACCGGCUAACUACGUG